GUAGACGGGGCUCCCGGCGAGAGCGAGGGAGAGAAAGAGAUGGAGUAUAUAUUUUCUCGAGGAGAGACGGAAUACGUUUUUGCUUUCAUUUCAGAGGUCCGUCCUUCUACACUUCGACGACCCCCGACAGCUGUCGCUAGAUCGCCUGCUCUUUUUCUCUCACUCUCUCGAUGUAUCAUUAUCGGGCACUCGUCAAGUGCAAUCCGUGGUCACCUAAUCAUCAU
ensembl:ncRNA F43B10.4 ncRNA